rnacentral:rRNA from 1 species
AUCAUUAUGAAUUCAGUAGUUUUGCUACUGUAUUGGGGGAGAUGGGAAAGUCCUGGCUGAAAAGUCAGUGUGCCGGUACCUGCACCCCUACCAUACCCUUGUCUUUUGAGUACUUAUGUUUCCUUGGUAGGCUUGCCUGCCAGUUGGACAAAAUACAACCCUUUUUAUCUAUAAAUCAGCGUCUGAAAACAAUUAAUAAUUACAACUUUCAACAACGGAUCUCUUGGUUCUGGCAUCGAUGAAGAACGCAGCGAAAUGCGAUAAGUAGUGUGAAUUGCAGAAUUCAGUGAAUCAUUGAAUCUUUGAACGCACAUUGCGCCCCUUGGUAUUCCAUGGGGCAUGCCUGUUCGAGCGUCAUUUGUACUCUCAAGCUAUGCUUGGUGUUGGGUGUUUGUCCUUGCCUUUUGUGCUUGGACUCGCCUUAAAGGAAUUGGCAGCCAGUGUUUUGGUAUAAAGCGCAGCACAUUUUGCGAAUUUAUCCAGCAACAUUAGCAACCAUCAAGUUUAUUCUAACACUUUUGACCUCGGAUCAGGUAGGGAUACCCGCUGAACUUAAGCAUAUCAAUAAGCGGAGGA